rnacentral:rRNA from 1 species
GACGUAGGGGGCGAGCGGUAUCCGGAAUCACUGGGCGUAAAGGGCGUCUAGGCGGCGUGCCAAGUCUCGCGUGAAAGCUCCCGGCUCAACUGGGAGAGGGCGCGGGAAACUGGCGAGCUAGAGACUCGGAGGGGGGUGUGGAAUUCCCGGUGGAGUGGUGAAAUGCGUUGAGAUCGGGAGGAACACCCGUGGCGAAGGCGGCACCCUGGCCGAGGUCUGACGCUGAAGCGCGAGAGCGUGGGGAGCGAACGGG